rnacentral:rRNA from 1 species
AGAGUUUGACCUCCUCCUGGCUCAGGACGAACGCUGGCGGCAUGCCUAAUACAUGCAAGUCGAACGAGCUUUGGUUGAUUGAUGUGCUUGCACUGAUUUCUUCCUGAAGCGAGUGGCGAACUGGUGAGUAACACGUGGAAAACCUGCCCAGAAGCAGGGGAUAACACUUGGAAACAGGUGCUAAUACCGUAUAACAACAAAAACCGCAUGGUUUUUGUUUGAAAGAUGGUUUCGGCUAUCACUUCUGGAUGGUUCCGCGGCGCAUUAGCUUGUUGGUGAGGUAACGGCCCACCAAGGCGAUGAUGCGUAGCCGACCUGAGAGGGUAAUCGGCCACAUUGGGACUGAGACACGGCCCAGACUCCUACGGGAGGCAGCAGUAGGGAAUCUUCCACAAUGGACGCAAGUCUGAUGGAGCAAUGCCGCGUGAGUGAAGAAGGGUUUCGGCUCGUAA